rnacentral:rRNA from 1 species
GUAAGGAGCGGUGGACUGAUUACGAGUGAGAAUGUUGGCAUUAGUAGCGAGAUGUAGGCGAGAAUCCUACAGGCCGAAUAUCUAAGGUUUCCUGGGUAAAGUUUGUCUUCCCAGGGUUAGUCGGGACCUAAGGCGAGGCCGAAAGGCGUAGUCGAUGGACAAUUGGUUGAUAUUCCAAUACCACUAUCAUCGUUAUUACCGAGGGUGUGACGGAGAAGGAUAGGAUGUGCUAGCUAUUGGAUGCUAGUCGAAGCGUUUAGGGAGUUAGAGUAGGCAAAUCCGCUCUAACAAUUCUGAGGCGUUAUAGGGAAGGUUCUACGGAACCGAAGUAUCUGAUUCCAUGCUUCCAAGAAAAGCAUCUAGGGAGAGAAGUAGUGCCCGUACCGCAAACCGACACAGGUAGAUGAGGAGAGAAUCCUAAGGCCGGCGGAAGAAUCACAGUUAAGGAACUAGGCAAAUUGACCCCGUAACUUAGGGAGAAGGGGUGCCUGUGAGAGCAGGCCGCAGAGAAUAGGCCCAAGCAACUGUUUAGCAAAAACACAGGUCUCUGCUAAAGCGAAAGCUGAUGUAUAGGGGCUGACGCCUGCCCGGUGCUGGAAGGUUAAGGGGAACACUUAGCGCAAGCGAAGGUGUGAACUUAAGCCCCAGUAAACGGCGGCCGUAACUAUAACGGUCCUAAGGUAGCGAAAUUCCUUGUCAGGUAAGUUCUGACCCGCACGAAUGGCGUAAUGACUUGGGCACUGUCUCAACUGUGAAUCCGGCGAAGUUGUAGUGCGAGUGAAGAUGCUCGCUACCCGCGAUUGGACGGAAAGACCCCGUAGAGCUUUACUGUAGCUUAGCAUUGAAUUUCGGUAUUGUCUGUACAGGAUAGGUGGGAGACUGGGAAAUCAGGGCGUCAGCCUUGAUGGAGUCGUCCUUGGGAUACCACCCUGACAGUACUGAGGUUCUAACUGGAUGCCAUGAAUCUGGUGACAGGACAUUGUUAGGUGGGCAGUUUGACUGGGGCGGUCGCCUCCUAAAAAGUAACGGAGGCGCCCAAAGGUUCCCUCAGAACGGUCGGAAAUCGUUCGAAGAGUGCAAAGGCAGAAGGGAGCCUGACUGCGACACCCACAAGUGGAGCAGGGACGAAAGUCGGGCUUAGUGAUCCGGUGGUACCUCGUGGGAGGGCCAUCGCUCAACGGAUAAAAGCUACCUCGGGGAUAACAGGCUGAUCUCCCCCAAGAGU